rnacentral:pre_miRNA from 1 species
UGAGAACUGAAUUCCACGGGUUGUGAUUGCAACUCUGACAGACCCGUGGGGCUCAGUUCUUGA